GACUGAACUGUCCUUUUUCGGUUAUCAUGGUACCGAUGCUGUAUAUCUGGAAGGUACAGUACUGUGAUAACUGAAGAAUGGUGGUGCCAUC
ensembl:miRNA